rfam:Mycobacterium shinjukuense strain CCTG 53584 Mycobacterium_shinjukuense_CCTG53584_contig21, whole genome shotgun sequence.
ACACAGGAAAGGAGGUGGUCCGCGAAAUUGAUAGCGUCAUGGACAUGUGAGGUGGCUGCGCGCUAGCAGCGUUGGCUCGGAAGAGUCAGCGACAACCGCGCUGGCGAAUUCCCCGCAGCCACCCGGCCCCCGAGCCUUCGGUCUGUCCAACCGAGAAUGCGCUCGGGGGCCGUUCCAU